GUGUUAUGUAUCUUUGUUCCAUCAAUUGUUCUAAAUAUGUUUUACUAAUUGGAAUGUUGAAUGAAUGUAAUAAUUUCCAAAUCAACUGGUGUAGCUAAAUUAAAACAAAAAAAAAAUUAAAAAUUAAAAAUUAAAAAAAAAAGACAAAUAAUUUAGUGACAUCGUAAAAAACUAUUCAUCUAACUCUCUCCUAUCACAUGGCUAUGUGGACUGCAGGUUUAAGAAAUUAACUAGUGGACAUCUCUCUAUCACGUCUGUCUCACUGCGAGUUCAAGAAACCAGUUCCAAAAAAUUCAACUAACGGAAGCUGAAGAAAUUCUCACCAUCACAUGAUAGUUUUAUCUUUCGAUGCCAGGAUGGAGAGUACUCGAUGGCAAGACUAUCUUAUUAUAUUUUUGGAUAAAAGAAAAACAGAGUAAUUAACACAAAGGAAAGAUACAAGAAGUUAUACACACCGAAGUUUCCACCAUUGAAGGAAACACCAUACUACAAAUCACGAGAGACUCCUAAAAUGGUUCUCGAAAUUAUGGAAUUCCCUCUACUCCAGGUAUACCAAAUAAUGUCCAUCACAGCAUCUCUUGAAAAAAUCCUGGCAUUCUAAUCGAAAACCUAAAUUUUGUUAAGAAAAGAACUUCAUCUGAGCUACAUACAGGGAAGACAACAGAUUCCCUAAGAGAUAAAUUAGUUUCCCCCAUAACACUCUGGCAAUAGGACAGCACAAGAACAAAUAUGAGCAUGCCUCAUUAUUCCACCGACACGGCACAAAUAAAAGAGGAGAAAGCCCUCGAGGUCAAUGCAAAAAUAAUGAAUCAUUAGUGUUACAAGCCCGUCAAUGACCGAAGACAACGUAAACAAUUACCUCGAAGGGACCUUGUAUUUCCAAAUGAAUCCAACAGGAAAAAGAGAUGCCUUGCAAUUGGACAAGACCAAAAAAAUAAAUGAUUUCAAUGUGUUGAUAACAGAAUUAUUAGAAGCCCAAAUCCUGUCAACCAUAAUAAAGAAGGAUGGAAAGAGUCCAGAAGAUUUACAGAAACUAUGAGAUCCUCGACUUCCUUGUCUUCAAGAUUACAAGGUAAAUGUUGAAUGACCAUGAAAGCUAAUGCUCUAUCAUGAACACAAUAUCUAAGUACUGAGGAACUACAAGAUUAGAGAGAUGAAACAAUACUGAAUAGGUGACAGAAACGGAAUGUCUCCCUCCCCUCGAGGGAUCCUCCAAAGAACAACUAGAAAAUACUUGCCCGAAGGUAUAACAAUGUGAGCGUUGGGGAAUGAAGAUAAGAAUAUCCUUAGUAGAUUUGGAAUUAAGAAAGUUUAAAUCAGAUUAUCUUACUUCAGUUUAUUAUAUAGCUUUCUAGUUUGACUUGAAUAAUGGUUUUGUUUUAUAAACUUAAAUUAGGUUUCAUUUCCUUUGUUUUUUCUCAAAUUAGGUUUGCUUAAACUNN
rnacentral:lncRNA from 1 species